UUUUUUUGUAAUAAAAUUGCUCCAGAUAGCCAUGCAUGUCUAAGUAUAGCAUAUACCGUGAAACUGCGAAUGGCUCAUUAAAUCAGUAUCGUUUAUUGAUAGUACCUUACUACUUGGAUAACCGUGGUAAUUCUAGAGCUAAUACAUGCUGAAAACCCGACUUCGGAAGGGGUGUAUUUAUUAGAUAAAAAACCAAUGCCCUCCGGGGCUCUUUGGUGAUUCAUGAUAACUUAACGGAUCGCAUGGCCUUGCGCCGGCGACGGUUCAUUCAAAUUUCUGCCCUAUCAACUUUCGAUGGUAAGGUAGUGGCUUACCAUGGUUUCAACGGGUAACGGGGAUUUGGUUCGAUUCCGGAGAGUGGGCCGGAGGAACGGCCAACACAUCCAAGGAAGGCAGCAGGCGCGCAAAUUACCCAAUGCUGAUUCAGCGAGGUAGUGACAAUACAUACUGAUACAGGGCUCUUUUGGGUCUUGUAAUCGGAAUGAGUACAAUUUAAACCCCUUAACGAGGAACAAUUGGAGGGCAAGUCUGGUGCCAGCAGCCGCGGUAAUUCCAGCUCCAAUAGCGUAUACUAAAGUUGAUGCAGUUAAAAAGCUCGUAGUUGAACCUUGGGCCUGGCUGGCCGGUCCGCCUCACCGCGUGCACUGGUCCGGCCGGGCCUUUCCUCCUGGAGAGCCUCGUGCCCUUUACUGGGUGCGUUGGGGAACCAGGACUUUUACUUUGAAAAAAUUAGAGUGUUCAAAGCAGGCCUUUGCUCGAAUACGUUAGCAUGGAAUAAUGGAAUAGGACGUGCGGUCCUAUUUUGUUGGUUUCUAGGACCGCCGUAAUGAUUAAUAGGGAUAGUCGGGGGCAUCAGUAUUCAAUUGUCAGAGGUGAAAUUCUUGGAUUUAUUGAAGACUAACUACUGCGAAAGCAUUUGCCAAGGAUGUUUUCAUUAAUCAGUGAACGAAAGUUAGGGGAUCGAAGACGAUCAGAUACCGUCGUAGUCUUAACCGUAAACGAUGCCGACUAGGGAUCGGGCGGGUUUCUAUCUUGACCCGCCCGGCACCUUACGAGAAAUCAAAGUUUUUGGGUCUGGGGGAGUAUUCCCCC
rnacentral:rRNA from 1 species